GCCGAAGUGGUGAAAUUGGUAGACACGCUACCUUGAGGGGGUAGUGGGCAACAGCCCGUGCGAGUUCGAGUCUCGCCUUCGGCACCA
rnacentral:tRNA from 1 species